UAGAAUAGAGAUUUAUAAGUAAGAUUAACUCAUGCAGCAACUUAGAAGCAUUAACACUAAACAGUCUUUUGCUGGGACCUGGCAUGCCAGCAUGUCCCUAUAUAUUUGUAUACAGUUAGUGACAAAAUUAAAUACAUGCAGCAGACAAUAAAAUAGAUAAUGUAUAAUAUAAAAAGCUUACUUCAGAAAAAAGGUAUUAGACCAUUACCAUAAUGAAAUAAAUGUAAAAUUAACAGAAUUAAAACCAUUACAAGUUGCUGCACAACCAUACGUAAAGUUGUAAACAACUUCAUUGUUAUAUCAUUGUGAUGGGUUGGAUCACUGAGGUCCCCUGGGGACUAUCACCUGAUGUGCUGGUUAUACCACUGAGUCAGCCAGACUACCCUCUGGAGCACCCACCACCCUCUCCUGCUGGGCCAGAAGCUCUGGUUACCACAGUUCUGUGCCUUGGCUGGGUUGAACAGAUACUGAACCAGAUCACCUUGGGAAGUUUCAGUUACAGGAACGUUAACAGUAACGAGGAGCCCAGCCCUAAGAGGACCAAAACCCUAAAUAAAUCCAUCUUACUCUGCUUAAAAGUUUUACACAGAGAACGUUCAUAAGCAUGAACUGAAUCCAUCUUCGUGCUUACUGAUUUGAUUAAGAUUUUCAUUGAAACCACAACCAGUGUUCCUGCUCCUAACCCAUAGAGCGCGAUCAUAUGCAAAUAGAGUGACACCUGCACCAGCAUUUUGUAUGUACAAUACUAUCAUCAUAUUAAAUAAUGUAGGGCAUAUGACAUAACAUCCAAUUCUAAGAUGUAUGGUCCAUUUACUUGAAGAAUGGAUGGAUUAGAGAAUUUGCUCUCCUUAUCAGUAGUUUGCCUUCUUUGUACAAUAUACCCUCCCUUCACAACAUGUUACAUGUUCUUCAAUAUCGUGAAACCUUUGUUUCACAUACUACUUUUUAGUUUAGUUUUCAGUUAAACAAUAUGACUGAUAUUUCCUCUUCCUCGCCUAAAACCACGUUGAACCUUAUGACAUUGAUUUCCAAAUAGGCAAAGAGUCUUUCAUUCAUAAUUCUCUCUGUAAUUGUACUGAGACUUAGCAUAGUGACAACUGGUCUAUAGGCAUCCACUUUUGUGGACAAUUUGCCUUAUUUUCUUACUUACAUACUACUGCAUAUUUCCACCCUCCACAAUCAAUCCUUGUUUCCAGAUAAUAGUAUAUAAAUUCCAAAAGAACCAAACUUCUAUCAGGAAGAUAUCUAAACAUUAUCUAUCUACCUAUAUAUUUUAGAGCAAUGGUCCCCUAUGCAGUGCCCGCGGGCGCCAUGGUGCCCGCCGGGGCAUUUAUGUGUGCCCGCCGAGUGACCAGGGCCAGCCCAAGCCAUUCUCCCGGGGCACAUGCACGGUGCUGCCCCCACGCACACAGUGCAUGUGCGGCCCCACCCCAGGUGCAUGCGCAGCCCCGCCUCCAGGCGCGCAGCAGCCCCAAAAGGUUGGGGACCACUGUUUUAGAGUGUUUGUCUGUCUGUUCAAGAACUCCUAAACAAUAAGCGCUAGAGCCACCAUAUUUGGUAGGCAGCUUCCUCUAGAACCCAACAUAAAGCAAGGUUGGGGUUGGUGGAACCAAAACAAUUUGUAGCCCCAGGAAAAGAACAGUUUUCCAUAACAUGCAAAGCGAGGGGCUGUUUGGAGGGAUGCAAUAUGAGAGUGGCCACUGGGGGCAGCAAGCCCACAGGGGAGAGCUAUCCUGCAGUGUGCACUAGGGACAGCCCGUAUCACCAAGACCAGGGAUGCGCAAUUUUUGUUGGGGGAGGCCAUUCCAAGAUUUUGGAAAGUGGUCAAGAGCUGUAAUCUUCCAUGACACUAAUGGACAAGGUGCGGGGUCUGGGAUGGAAGCUGGGUGCAGAAGAGUGGUUGGGGUAAGGGAUAAGAACAUAAGAACGGCCGUACUGGGUCAGACCAAAGGUCCAUCUAGCCCAGUAUCCUGUCUGCCAACAGUG